rnacentral:piRNA from 1 species
UGAUGCUUCUAAGAGUACUGCAAUCA